UUUGGUGUGGCGUUGUGGUUAGCAUUGAUGAUUCAUAAAUUUUUGACGCGAGUUCGAUUCCCACCAAAG